UACGUAGGGCGCAAGCGUUGUCCGGAAUCAUUGGGCGUAAAGAGCUCGUAGGUGGUCUGUUACGUCUGCUGUGAAAUCCUAGGGCUUAACCCUGGGCCUGCAGUGGAUACGGGCAGACUAGAGGUAGGUAGGGGAGAAUGGAAUUCCCGGUGUAGCGGUGAAAUGCGCAGAUAUCGGGAAGGAACACCGGUGGCGAAGGCGGUUCUCUGGGCCUUACCUGACACUGAGGAGCGAAAGGCGUGGGGAGCGAACAGG
rnacentral:rRNA from 1 species